GACAAAUUUUGACCUAAACCCAUCGUCUCCCCCAAAGCCAUGUUCUCUUCGGUUUCAAGCUUCUCUAAUCUUCUAUGACUGCCCACUUAGCUUUCUCAUAUAUAUUUAAUACCAUCAGCUAACUUAUGGACUCAAUUGCAGGAUCUCUGGUUUUAAGCUCCUCCCAUCUUACUUUUAACCCACAAGGCAACGACUACUUCACAUCUAAUUAUCUAAAUAUGGUUUUUACUUUCAAAGUUCACACUGCCUUCUUGGCUGGAGAAUGCAAACGACUAUAGAAAAAAAAAGUGAACGUAGGAGACCAUCAACAAGCGUGUAAGCUUGAGUGCAUCUGAAGCCCCCAACGACAUUGGGAACAAUGGCCUCGGAGAUGACGAUUCUGACGAAGGUAGCUGUAGCCUAAUUUGGGAUGAAGUAAGCAUCAAACUAUUUUCUUUAUUAUAACAUUAGAUUGUCUUCUCUUUCACUAAGAUCUGAGACCUAUCUUUGUAUAUCUUAAGCCUAAUCCGUAGUAUU